rnacentral:Y_RNA from 1 species
GGCUGGUCCCAAGGUAGUGAGUUAUCUCAGUUGAUUGUUCACAGCCAGUUACAGAUUGAACUCCUUAUUCUACUACUUUCUCGUGCUUCUCACUACUGCACUUGACUAGUCUAAA